UUGGUCCUACGGGAGGCAGCAGUGAGGAAUAUUGGUCAAUGGGCGCGAGCCUGAACCAGCCAAGUAGCGUGAAGGAUGACUGCCUUAUGGGUUGUAAACUUCUUUUAUAUGGGAAUAAAGUGAGCCACGUGUGGCUUUUUGUAUGUACCAUACGAAUAAGGAUCGGCUAACUCCGUGCCAGCAGCCGCGGUAAUACGGAGGAUCCGAGCGGUAUCCGGAUUUAUUGGGUUUAAAGGGAGCGUAGGUGGACAGUUAAGUCAGUUGUGAAAGUUUGCGGCUCAACCGUAAAAUUGCAGUUGAUACUG
rnacentral:rRNA from 1 species